UAAAAGCUUCUACCCCCAAGCCAUAAGACUCCUGAACAGCUGAUCAAAUGGGGCUCCCAAUCACAGCCAGAUGUGAUGCGGACUGGAUUCGAACCAGGUACUGCAGUCUUGCACUGAGAUGCAGUGUCUUAAAGACCACUGCGCCGCUCGGGAGCCCAAUGUAUUCUGAAAUGUUUUUAAAAAAGAGGGAGCGUGUCGUGGAGAAUCGUAACAAAAUUUAGCACUUACAAGAACUUGUGAAUUCAAUAUAGGCUUUUAAUACAAACAUAUCAGAAGCCUAGAUGGUCCGUGGAACACACCCUUUUCCAGAGCACUGGCUCUGAUUUAUACACAUACAACAUAUGAGUCCAUCCCACAUGCAAAUGAAGUUACUUCCCUCAGUCCAUCUGCCACCAUUAUAUCCCAAUCUGUGCAUCCUGCUUGUUCAGCUCGAUAACACCCAUAUCUGCUUUCAGUUAAGUUAUAAUAGUGGCAGGACGUCUUCAUGUCCCAAAAAUAAUACAUGCCCAUCUUAUGCUAUGGGCCCCCUUACGUUCAGCCUGGUGUGUUCUUUGGUAUGUCUGUCCUUAUUAGGACUCGUAGACUAUGUGUCUCUUCUGACAUUCCUUCAGCAUCUUCAUGUCAUUAAAAUAUAUGGCCUAUGUCUAUAGUCCAUCAGUUGGUCAUUUGGCUGACCCCCUCCUUUGUAUGUCCCUCUGACCUUGGUUUGUCCAGCUGUCCUAUGCUCUCAUGGCCUUACUCUGGCCUAUACAAUAGCCAAUGCAUUUUACCAGAAUGGCAAAUGCACUCUAAGUGUAUCUUUCUCUUGUGUUACAGUAUUAAGUUCCUCCCUAUAUGUACAUCUUUCUCCCACAAGCGCUACUCCCCUGAGCCACCGCAGCACUAUAUUCCAGCACAUCCUUAGCCUUUUAUCAAUUAGAUUUGCUCGCCUCCUUUUGAAAAAGGUCAAAGGUAAUCGAGGAGGGUCAGCGACGAGAGUGAACCAAGGGACCAGGGUUCCGGUCGAGAAGCAAUGUUUUGACUGCUCCUACAGUUUUGAAUUCAAAACUCUUCCACGGUAGGUUACACAUGCGUGUCCUCGGUGAAAGGUCCCUGUCGCGGAGGGGAGAACAUUCUUCCGUUUUCCUACUAACGAAAUGUCACAUACUUCAACCACUGGACCACUUAUCUUAGUCAAGCCUCACGUUAUCUCUGGCCAAUCAAGUAGAAUAUAUUAAUGAUUGGUACCAUGAUUCGUCCUAUGAAAUGUCAACCUAGACUCUCAUCGAAUAAGACAACGUGCUAGGCAAUACACGCCUACAGCCGUCUCGUUUUGAUUAUUUUUGUAGUGGCUGUGAGUGGGUGCGUGUAUGUUGUCAGUAUUUUAUCAACCGUGUAGACGUCGGUUCAUAUGAACCUAUUGCUGUAUAAUUGUGAUGUAAAAACGAUUUCAUGUGGAUUAUGCUUUUGUUCAAUGUAGGACUUAAUCCGGCAGAUCCUGACAAUAGCUAACCGGUAGCUACACAGCGAAUAUAACGUGAACUAAACGAGCCUUGUUAGCAAGCUAGAUGCGUUAGCUAGCUGGGAGUGGGAGCCAGGGAUCUGCAUCUGUUGAAGUGCAGUGCUUGCUAUAGCAAGUCGUAUUUCCACAAGGAUUCUAAAGAAGUCUACUAAUACGGAGCUGGCAACAUCAGUCAAGUUAACUAGGUAGCGUUACCUAACUAUGAUAGCCGUUUUAGAUGGCAAACUAAAUCAAAGAUAGUGGAUAAAUGAUAAUUGAAUCGGGUAUUUUAACAAUUGUCAGUUCUGGUCUACUUAACUGGGCGUGUCUCCCAUACACUAAUUCAACAGCAGCGGGGUCUGGUCUACUUAAAGUUUAUUGACUUUCAUUGAACCAGAAAAAAACAGCGAGUGGAGUGUCUCGCUUCCUCUUCCGUCUUUGGCUAAAUUAUAAACCAAUGAUUGGGCCUUGGUACACUAGCUCUGCCUGGAAAGGAGCACUAAUUAUCUAGUUUAUUCUGAAUGAAUGUCUAAAAUAAGUGGUCAGGUAGCAAGUCCUAUCAAGUGUGUGAGCCAUAUCAGUUUCAGCCCUGUUGAAGCAACAUAGCUAGCUAAAUUCAACUUGAUUUGAGAGCGAACCUCAGUCAUUGAAAUGUAAAAAUAUCCAUGGUGGCAAUGAAAUGCUUUGUUGUGUGUAUGUAACAGUAUAGCUUCCGUCCCUCUCCUCGCCCCAGGGACCCUCUGCACAUACACAACAGCCACCCUCGAAGCAUCGUUACCCAUCGGGAACAACUACUUCGAGGUCUCAGACAGGCAGCAAAGUCUGACAUGAUGUCAGAUGGAGAGGGGAAGCAGGCAUUGAACCCUGUCCAGGAGAGGAAACCAGAGUCUAUGGUCUCUGCCUCCAACGAGCAGAGUGUGUCCCCUCCAGUAUCAACUGUGACACAGACCCCUGCCACAACGCCAACAGAGGAUGAGGAAGAGGAGAGCGAAGAUGAGUCUGAGAUUCUGGAGGAGAGCCCAUGUGGACGCUGGCAGAAACGGAGAGAAGAGGUGAACCAGCGUAAGUAGGCCAAGUAGGCGUCCCUGGAAUUGACAAUGCCUACUUGGCCAUGGACACCGAGGAGGGUGUGGAGGUGGUGUGGAAUGAGGUCAUGUUCUCAGAGCGGAAGAACUUCAAACUGCAGGAGGAAUGGGAUCUACCCUCUGACAGCAUUUGGGGUGCCUGGACCCAAAGCAGCCCGAGCAGGAAGCAGUGAAGUCCGCCAUUGUACCCCCCUCAGUCAAAACCCCCACCCCUGAGCCUGCGGAGCUGGAGACCAGGAAGGACCUACAGAUGCAGUGCAACAUUGAGCCUGUUGACGAGGGGGCCAAACAUCACCUUACACUAUUGCUGAAACUUGAGGACAAGUUGAAUAGGCACUUAAGUUGUGAUUUGUUAGCAAAUGAGAAUGUGCAGGAGCUGGCCGUGGAGCUUGUUCAGCUGGGAUUCAUCAGCGAGGGUGACCAACCACGACUAGCUUCGGUUCUGGAGGAGGCAUUCUCCAAGUUCUACAACCGGAAUGGCUUCCUGAAUCCGGUCACUGUCUCUUCAUAACAGAGGAGCCUCAUUAACCCUCCCCGCCCUCAUCCUCACCAACAGGACUUCACUGUCGCUCACCCCAUAGUUUUGUGGGAAGGCUUUGCAGGGACAGAUAGGGAAGCCUUUGCCUGCC